rnacentral:lncRNA from 1 species
UGCCCUGUUUUCUCCAAAUCAGUCAAUUACUUUCUUAACAAGUACUCCCUUUGAUCGCUGCCUUGUUAUCUCCGAAUUAGCCUUUUACUUUGACACGGUGGUACUUGAACCUAACCUACACGGCAGCCAAGUAGGCCUUAUGUUGUCACAUGCAAGACUUCCAAAAAGAAGUGUACGGUCUUGCUCUUAGACUAAGUUAAAUUGGAGCCACAUGCUAGCAUUGC